CGGCGGCGGUGGCGGCGGCGGUGGAUACCACAGGCACCACUGAGUCAGGUCUACCCCCGUCCUGCCCAGCGAUGAAAUCUCAUCAUCAGCGGGUUGGUGAUCAGUGAGUGGUCGACGGUGCUAAUUAUGAUUGGUUUGCAUGCGUGAGUAUCGUUAGGUCUUCUGCCAUUCCCGCGAAGCCCCGUUUAUUAUCUGCACUGUAGAGUUGGGAGUUCAGAAUAACAGAUGUGCGUGUGUGUGUCGCUGUGUCAGGCAAGUGUGAGGGUGUGUUGGCGUGUUGCUUUAUCAAGAUUUUGUAAUUUCAGUGUGUGUUUUGUAUAAGAAGUUAUUAUGAAUCAAGUAAUUUAAACAAGUCGAUUUGUCAACCGAACAACUGCAGCUGUUCGAGACGAUUGGCAUGAUAAGGAUAGUGUGAUUUUACUUCAACUCAAUUUUCAGAUCCGUGAACUGAAACUGAAGUGAAAUUCAGGCGUGUGCAAUGCAUUCAUACUGCUGGUCAUAGUUUUUUCUCUUACGAUGAACAAGUCGAUUUAUGAACAUUUUUCCUAGAUAAGUGAGGCUUUUAAAAAAUGUUCAUCAUGUGUUCAAAACAAUGAUAACCGUAAAUUUAAAGCAAAAUUGUUCGCCGUGUAUCUUAAAAAUGUUCAUCAUGAAUUUAAAAGGUUUGCCACUAAUUUUAAAAAGUUCAUCAUGUAUUUAUAUCACUAAUUUAGUUAUCUAAACGCUCUUAUAUUAGUUUACAGAGGGAGUAUUUAAAAGUUGUCAUCACGUAAUUAAAAAAAGGUUAAUUGUGCAUUAAUGAAAAUUUUCACCAUGUUUCAGAAAUGUUCAUCACGUAUUAAACUUAACCAUGUAUUUUUAAAAGUAAAAAAUGCUCAUUGUGUAUUUAAAACAUAUAAAGAUAUUUUUUUGUAAAUGAACUAAAAAUAUUCACCAUGAAUUGUUCAAAAAAUUCACCUUGUAUUAUUCAAAAACGCUCAGACACAAAGGACAAAUGUUCAUACACGGUGUGGGGAAAAGGAGAAAAUGCAUAGAGUAAAAGAACAACAAAACAGGAAAAAUGGACAAUGAAAAAAAAAGGAAAGAAUGAAGAAUCCAACUAAGAAAAAAAACAGUUCAGAAGCCAAACACAAAAACCACGCAAAAAGACGCAGCAGGAACCAGCGAACGAAACAACACCCCUAGCUGGCCUGCCCAAGUCACCUUGCUUGUGACUGUCUUCGCAUCCAUUUGACGUGUGUGCGUAUUUGCCGGAGACCUCCUAUUCCCUGACCUACGCGGGGAAAAGUGAGGAAACAUGCACCUAAACCUGUGGGUAGCCCGACCCGAGCCUGGCCCGAAAAAUCCAGGCCACGCUGGUGCCUUGUUUUGCAGCCCAAUGUACAUUUCGCCUAGGCUCGGGCUUUUGUAACAAUACUGAGAAAUAGUAUUUGGUUGGGCUUUCAAUAUUCAGGUCGGGCUUACAACUAACAACAUUGAUAAACACCAUUCGAGCUAGACUUUCGGGCUUGGGGCCUAUAUUUGGCUGAGGCUCGAGCUUGAGAAAGUGUGUACUUUCGGGAUUUGGACCAGCUGGGGCUUGAAGUUUGGGUUUCUGGCUUUUUGAAGCCCAGCCCGCCAUAUAAUCAGGUUUAAGUGCACCCCCGCCCCCCAUGCGUGCUUUUGGCCGGCCCAUAUGCGGGGUGAGCCGGGCUUAUUAUUAUUAUUUUUGCUUUUGUACUUUCAUUCUUUCUCAAUUGCAAGAAAUGUUCAUAAAAUAAUCAUAUGUUUGCACAUUUCUCAAAGUGCUUCAAAUUUUCAAAAUAUUAUAUGAUUUAAAUUCUUCAUAAAUUGAAAAUUUUCUUGAAUUUCAGAAAAUGUUCAUGAAUAGUAAAAUUGUUCCCCUAGUUCACAAAUUAUUCAUGUAUUUGAAAGUCCAUGGAUUCGAAAAUUGCUCGCGAAUUUGAGAAUGGAAUAAUAGAGUGAGUAUAGCAAUUGAUAUCUAUAGAUACUUUGCGAGGUUUAUAUCAUUAAAUUUAGAAAUGAUGUCAUUAUCACGACAUGUAUUGGAUGUCCUUUUUUCACUAGUUAAUAUCCAUAAAAUAUCAUGUUAGAUGACCGAUUUUUCAUAAUAUAACAUUUAUUGUGAAUCAAAAACCAGAAAGCAAGAAUCCUGCAAAGAAAAUGUAACACAUAAUCCUAGAGAGCGCCUUACACAUCUCAUUUCUAAGUGUGUUUACUUAUAAUUUGGUAAACAUAAGUCCAAGCAAAUCAAAGAAAAUCAAAGUACAGAGAAUACCUACAUACCAUGGCCCAUUGACCGGUCCACACAAUUGACUGCUUUAAUGUGACCCAUCAAAGACACUCAGAGCUUCAAAGGUGAACUGUUCUUUGAUCCAGGCUUUGGUUGGCACCGUAAAGAAUGCAAAAUAACAGCUCAAAUAUUUGUAUCAGCAAAAGAUCAAACAACUGAAAUAAGAAGCACAGAGCACAUGAGCAAGGAACAUAAAUGUUGUUAAUAAAACAAGAAAAAAACUAAGAUACGCUUGUGUCACUCGCAACUCACUAACUCAUCACAAAUUCUUCAUACGAGCAAAAUAACACUACUAGGGACAAAGCAGGGCUUCGAUUUUCUUGCACAACAGCUAACAGUUAGAGCUUUUAAUUCAUGUUUACCCAAUAAUUCUCCACAAUUCCUCACAUAGUUUCUAGUUCAACCAUUACUGGUAUGUAAAUAGACAAGAUUAGAUCGAUACUAAAAUUUGCAUUACGCUAUCGACGAAUGACGGCUCAAUUUUAUCUCCACAUAGAUGACACAAGAAUCUCAUUUGAGCAGUUGGUCACAAUGCAUACUAGCAUACUAAUGUUUCCAAUCGAACCGCAGCCAGAAACUUAGAACGACUUAUCCAACUUCUACCACCAAAUCAAAUUCAUAUUAUGAUGUUGCCUCCACGUUCCACGAUCCCGGUAGGUACAUCCAUGCACUUUCCACAUGCGAGAUGCGAUGAAGAUGUGAGAUGUGGCCAAAGAUUUGGGAUGUUGUAAACAUAUGUACGAGAUAUUUUUUUUCUCUAUGUAUACCUAAUAGUUUACUAGAAGCCGCUAUCAGGAUAUUUCUGACUUUUAAAGACACACACACACAGAGAGAUAUACGUAUAUACUAUGGUCAUGUGAGUGUCACAAAUUAAUCCAUGAAACAUGCAAUUUUAUGUAGUCUAUUUUCUUAUGGUUAGAGGGGUUAAGUUUAAGUAUUAUUUUAUGGUGCAAUCUAUUGAAUAGAAAGAAACUAAUCAAAUUUAGCGUAGGGCGUGCACAUAUUUUAAUGACACACAUUACAACCUAGCAGAAAAUACUAUUAUUUAUAUUGAGCAUAAUUAUCGUAAGUAAAUAUAAAAAAGAAGUAACCGCUUGCAGUUAAUAGUGAGUUUUAAACAUGUAUAAAAGUUUAAUAUAAAUAUUCAAUUUAAUUAGACUCGAUUUCUUGUCACCGCCCUAGAUUCAUGUUUGUAAUUAGUGGCAUUGCAUCCAUGCAUCAUGUCUAAUUUUAUCAGAAAUUUGAAUUGAGGGAAUUUUCAAAACCUCAGAAACAUUUUAGAAAUUAUCAACACUAAAAUCUUCUCAAAUAAGUCCAAGAAAAUGUUCCUGUUAUUUUAUGAAAAUAUUGGAAAGAGGUAAAAUUAAAACCAGUAUUUUUGGAUUGUCAGAAAUAUUUAUUUUGGGAAUUUGAGUUAAUCUAAUAAUUAUUUGCAUUAGACUUAUAUUUAUUAUAUAUUAAAUAUUGGUCCAAAAAAUUUGAAAGUUUGUAUGUGGCUCUGGACUAGUUCCCUAAGUCCACAUAUUGAAUUUCAGAAGUUUAUAAAGUGAUUUGGUAGUUAAACCAAAUCAAACAAACAGAACAAAAUGGAAAACAAAAACAGAAAGGGAAGAACAGAGAGAGAGAGAGAGAGUUUACCUGGCAGCCCACUUACCCGGCCCAACUCCUCUAGCCGGCCCAGCCUACCUGGCUCUGCCAGUCGUCCUCUACCUCGUGCCAGAGGGCACGAGGGCGUGUGGCCGCCGCCCACGCGUACGCACCGCGCCACCUCUUGCUUGCCGCUUCGCUCUGGCCCUCUCCGGACGUCGACACGUAGCCCCCUGGUCCUCUCCCUCGCUUCCCUCGUCCUUCCCCACCUCUGGAUCCCUCUCUCUCUCUCACCACCGAGCGGGGCUCGUCGCCACCGACGCCGUUCACCGUAGCCACCGUCUCCUCCUGAACCUCUCUCCGCGCCCAGAAGCUCCGCCACUUCGUCCUCGACCCCCUCGCUGAGCCACGCAACGCCGGACGCCCUGAAGCCUCGCCAACACCGUCGUUCCCCUCGUCGGUCGCCGCGGAUCCUCGCCGUUGAUUCAGGAGCUACAGGACCUCCCCGAGCACUCUGAGCUUCUCUACAAGUCCUCCGUGAGCCCCUCUUUCCCCUACCCUAACCUCGUUGCUUCGCUCGACCUCUAGCUAGCGCUGCCGCCAUGGCCGAGCUCCGCCGCCGCCUGCCUUGUCAUGCGCCACCAUUGCAGCCCGCGCCCGUCGUUGGAGAGCAUGGCAACGAGCUCGUCGUGCCUCCAGGAGGCCGGCUAUCCCUUUUGCUAGCUCGCCCGUGCCCCGUAGCACCGCUGCCCGCUUGCGCCCGAACUCCGGCCGCCGCCCAAGUGGUCACCGCCGUCGACCCCGGCCUCCUGCGCCCAGCUGCAUGCACCCCCUGGAUGCGGGCGAGCGAGGGCUUCCUCAUGGUGCCCUGCUACCUCUUGAGCACUGCGUUGGUUUUCCCUAGAAGAGGAAAGGGUGAUGCAGCAAAGUGGCGUAAGUAUUUCCCUCAGUUUUUGAGAACCAAGGUAUCAAUCCAAUAGGAGGCUACACACGAGUCCCUCGCACCUACACAAACGAAUAAAUCCUCGCAACCAACAUGAUAAGGGGUUGUCAAUCCCUACACGGUCACUUACGAGAGUGAGAUCUGAUAGAUAUGAUAAGAUAAUAUUUUUGGUAUUUUUGUGAUAAAGAUGCAAAGUAAAGAAAGUAAAAUAAAAACGGCGCUAGAAAUAGCUAAGUGUUGGAAGAUUAAUAUGAUGGAAAAUAGACCCGGGGGCCAUAGGUUUCACUAGUGGCUUCUCUCGAGAGCAUAAGUAUUUACGGUGGGUGAACAAAUUACUGUUGAGCAAUUGACAGAAUUGAGCAUAGUUAUGAGAAUAUCUAGGCAUGAUCAUGUAUAUAGGCAUGACGUCCGAAACAAGUAGACCGACUCCUGCCUGCAUCUACUACUAUUACUCCACACAUCGACCGCUAUCCAGCAUGCGUCUAGAGUAUUAAGUUCAUAAGAACAGAGUAACGCUUUAAGCAAGAUGACAUGAUGUAGAGGGAUAAACUCAUGCAAUAUGAUAUAAACCCCAUCUUGUUAUCCUCGAUGGCAACAAUACAUUACGUGCCUUGCUGCCCCCACUGUCACUGGAAAAGGACACCGCAAGAUUGAACCCAAAGCUAAGCACUUCUCCCAUUGCAAGAAAGAUCAAUCUAGUAGGCCAACCCAAACUGAUAAUUCGAAGAGACAUGCAAAGAUAACCAAUCAUACAUAAAAGAAUUCAGAAGAUUCAAAUAUUGUUCAUAGAUAAGCUUGAUCAUAAACCCACAAUUCAUCGGUCUCCACAAACACAUCACAAAAGAAGAUUACAUCGAAUAGAUCUCCACAAGAGAGGGGGAGAACAUUGUAUUGAGAUCGAAAAAGAGAGAAGAAGCCAUCUAGCUAAUAACUAUGGACCCGAAGGUCUGAGGUAAACUACUCACACUUCAUCGGAGAGCCUAUGGUGUUGAUGUAGAAGCCCUCCGUGAUCGAUGCCCCCUCCGGCGGAGCUCCGAAACAGGCCCCAAGAUGGGAUCUCACGAAUACAGAAGGUUGCGGCGGUGAAAUUAGGUUUUUAGCUACGUAUCUGAUCGUUUGGGGGUACGUAGCUAUAUAUAGGAGGAAGGAGUACGUCGGUGGAGCAACGUGGGGCCCACGAGGGUGGAGGGCGCGCCCAGGGGGUAGGAGCGCCCCCUACCUCGUGGCUUCCUGGUAGCUUUCUUGACGUAGGGUCCAAGUCAUCUGGAUCAUGUUUGUUCCGAAAAUCAUGUUUCCGAAGGUUCAUUCCGUUUGGACGCCGUUUGAUAUCCUGCGAAACUCUGAAAUAGGCAAAAAACAGCAAUUCUGGGCUGGGCCUCCGGUUAAUAGGUUAGUCCCAAAAAAUAAUAUAAAAGUGCAUAAUAAAGCCCAAUAAUGUCCAAAACAGAAGAUAAUAUAGCAUGGAGCAAUCAAAAAUUAUAGAUACGUUGGAGACGUAUCAAGCAUCCCCAAGCUUAAUUCCUGCUCGUCCUCGAGUAGGUAAAUGAUAAAAACAGAAUUUUUGAUGUGGAAUGCUACUUGGCAUAAUUUCAGUGUAAUUUUUAUUAAUUGUGGUAUGAAUAUUUAGAUCCGAAAGAUUCAAGAUAAAAGUUCAAUAUUGACAUAAAAAUAAUAAUACUUCAAGCAUACUAACUAAGCAAUUAUGUCCGCAGCAUCGCCGGAGUGCGCGUCCAUGACCCUGUGCGGGCCGAUCAAGAAGCACAUCAUUGAGCACUUCCACCACAAGAAGCCCGUGCCGCCUAAGCCGGAGCUCAAGCCCCAGCCCCACCCGGACUACGGCCCCGUGCCCAAGCCGGAGCCGAAGCCGCAGCCCCACCCAGACUACCACCCCGUCCCUCCCACGCCCACCUACGGUAGCGGUGGCGGCGGUGGUGGAUACCACGGGCACCACUGAGUCAGUUCUACCCCCGUCCUGCCCAGCGAUGAAAUCUCAUCAUCAGCGGGUUGGUGAUCAGUGAGUGGUGGACGGUGCUAAUUAUGAUUGGUUUGCAUGCGUGGGUAUCGUUAGGUCUUCUGCCAUUCCCGCGAAGCCCCGUUUAUUAUCUGCACUGCAGAGUUGGGAGUUCAGAAUAACAGAUGUGCGUGUGUGUGUCGCUGUGUCAGGCGAGUGUGAGGGUGUGUUGGUGUGUUGCUUUAUCAAGAUUUUGUAAUUUCAGUGUGUGUUUUGUAUAAGAAGUUAUUAUGAAUCAAGUAAUUUAACCAAGUCGAUUUGUCAGCCGAACAACUGCAGCUGUUCGAGACGAUUGGCAUGAUAAAGAUAGUGUGAUUUUACUUCAACUCAAUUUUCAGAUCCGUGAACUGAAACUGAAG
rnacentral:lncRNA from 1 species